rnacentral:rRNA from 1 species
GAUCCUGGCUCAGAUUGAACGCUGGCGGCAGGCCUAACACAUGCAAGUCGAACGGUAACAGGAAGCAGCUUGCUGCUUUGCUGACGAGUGGCGGACGGGUGAGUAAUGUCUGGGAAACUGCCAGAUGGAGGGGGAUAACUACUGGAAACGGUAGCUAAUACCGCAUAACGUCGCAAGACCAAAGAGGGCGGUACGGUCGCU